rnacentral:rRNA from 1 species
GACGAACGCUGGCGGCGUGCCUAACACAUGCAAGUCGAACGGAAAGGCCCUAAGUGCAGGGUACUCGGGUUGCUGACGGGCGGGUAACUAGUGGGUGAUCUGCCCUCCACUUCGUGGUAGGCCAGAGUAACUGGCGACUACUCCUAAUACGUACCACUACGAGCGGGAUGGUUGGAAAGGUUUUUGGAUGUAGGAUGAGCUGGCGGGCCAUCCGCUUGUUGGGGGGGUAAUGGCGUACCCAGCCGACGACGGGUAGCAGUACUGGGAGGGUGGACGGCUACGUUGACACUGAGACUCGGCCCAGGCUCCGACGGGUGGCAGCAGUGGGGAAGAUUGAUCAAUGAGCGCAGGGCUGAUGCAGCGGCGCCGCGUGGGGGAUGACGGCCUUGGUGUUGUAAACUCCUACCGCUAGCGUCAAAGCCUUUUGUGACGGUACCUAGAGAAGAAGCACCGGCUAACUACGUG